UGCCCCAAGGCAUCCUGGGAAAUCUCAUUGACACUUCCUUUCCUGUGGGGACCCUGUGACAUAGGUUCUGCAGAGUUCUGCCUUCUCCCACUUCCUCAAAACCAACUCUACUCCAAGAAAGUGAGUUCAGACAUACUCCUGUGGGAGCGUUUCUCCAUAACCAAAACCCAGAGAUAAAGAAGGCAACGUCACUUCAUCACACAGAAACUGGGGGCAGAGGGAGAUGUUGGCCUGAAAAAUACUUAUUCCAACAGGAAAGUUACAUUCUGUUAUUAUUCCAAGAAGAGAAUAUUGGCAGGCAUCUCAAGAUUUUGUGCUUUCUGCUGCUACUAAAAUGAAAUAGAUUUCAGUUCUAAUCCCAUAAUAUGAAACAAACCAAAAGCAGACAGACUGGCAAUGCUAACUCUAGAUACACAGUGACACGCGUCAUCAGUUUAAAGAGGUCAAAAAAGCAGCCGGGCUUCUUUUUUCAUAAAGUAUAUGAAGAGAUGAACAACAGACUUUUUUUUUGUUUAAUCCUGAUCUAGUGAGAAGGCAUAAAGGAGCCCACCUAAGCAGAAGACUUCAAAAGCUAGAUAAGGGAGGACAAAGAGGCUUAAAUGGAAAACUCCUCAACAAGCCAAGAAUAUAAUAAGGCAAAACUCAACUUCAAUUUAUGCAAGAAUACUGGCGCUUUGGCACUCAAAAAAGACGUCGCAACACCUCUCUGUACACAAAGAAAAUAUGAAAUCCUGAAAUCCGUGCAGCGUACAGUCACGGAGCCACUGCCAGCUUAGUUAAAACUCGGAUAACUUCACUUGGGAUGGCGGGACUGGUCACUACAAUUCACAAGGGUCUAUUACGACAAAACAGGAAGAGAAAUCUGAAGGACAAGGCCAGAGUCAAGAAAACACCACUGUGUCUCCCAAGAGUUUUACCGAAAACGGCACACCAUAAACCAAUUUAAUUCAAGGUAACCCAAGCAGCUGGAUGAAAAGGAGCCCAAGAAAUGAACAGAAGAAAGAAAACACAAAUGUUUCAAGUUACAGGAGAUCUUCAAUCACAGAGAAAUGAGCACAAAUUAACAAACCAAGAAGGUUCCCAGGCCCUAUUAAGAUGUUCUACAGCAGUGGAAGGAACCGAUGAGACAAGUCAGACAGUCAGAACUGUUCAUGGAGGUUUGGAAGGAGUAAAAAAAAUAAAGAAGACAGAAAAACAAACCAUCAGCCCAUGUCUAAUUUAUUUUCAUGGCUCUAAAAAUAUUUAUAGAACAAAGCUGUAUUAACCAAGAAGCUAUCUGAUGGUUUCUUUUGCCUGCAUCAGUCAAAAGAAGACAAACAAUAUAGAUCAAGUGCAUCUGUGCUCCAGCCUGCAUUGAUUUGUUGCAUGUGCGGUUAAAUCCUGUCAAGCAGUAUUAAAGGUGAAGCAUUAUCAUCAGGGAGCCCAUUCUGAGAGGAACGCAGUAAGUCACCGGCAGGUCCUCCACCUGCCAUGCCAAGAAGUCACAAAACUUUACCCAAACAGGAGGCCUUUCCAAACAGUCAAUCAAUGAGCCCCUAGAACAACCUCCAGCAAGGGACUCUUGGUAAGAUGAUUUUAUAAUAGAAGUCUAAUGAGGGGUUCAUUACCAACCCAUCCCCCACCCCCACAAAAAAAAAUGGCCAAAGGUAAAGGAAUGGGGUGGAGGGAAAGAUAUUAUGGGCAUAGGAAAGACUUUCAUGUUUCCAAAGUUUUGGCGCCAUGAUGUCCUUUUUAAGAGGUGUUUAGAAAGGUGCCCGUCUCAAUCACAGCCUUGACUGCAGGAUGAGAGAGACCCAAAAACUGAAAACUGCUCUCUUCUAGAAACUGUUCAUUACUUUGCACAUCUGCACCUACUGGUCCCUCCACACUACCCUUGUUGAAUGAAUACACUGAAGCACUCUGCACAUCUCUAUCUGUGACCUCAAAGGACAUGGUCUGCUGAUAGACUGCAGCUUCUAAGGCCCAAUUCUUUAAUGUCUUGGAGGGAUGUCCACAUGCUGACCUCAGCAAUAUUAAAGAAAAACAAUUAUGCAAAGUCAUGAAGGUACACUCAUUUUGGAGUUAUCUAUGGGAAAUUUUCAGAUUAACUUUAGUGACAAAGCACAGCCAAGCUGUGUUUGGAGAAAGGUAAUGUGUAACAUUCCAGGAGCACGGAAGGUCUUUUAAUAAUAUCUGCACUGGGAGGAUGGACA